CUGCCACUCUCCAAGGAGGGCCUCUUCAUGGAUGUUAUCUAAAGUAUUACCAAAGAUCCGGAAGGGAAGAGUAGAUUGAGUGAAUCAUAUGCGUUUAACUGUAUUGAAAACAUACUUUCCACCUGUGACCUGCACUACCUGUUAAUGAUGGGUUCUGGCCUUUCAUUGUGCAUGUAGACUAUGUGAAAGGGUUUGGAGGAAAAUUUGGUGUGCAGACAGACAGACAAGACAAAUGUGCCCUUGGCUGGGAUCACCAGGAGAAAUUGCAGCUGCAUGAAUCCCAAAAAGAUUAUAAGACUGGUUUUGGAGGCAAAUUCGGUGUUCAGUCGGAGAGGCAGGACUCCGCUGCUGUGGGGUUUGAUUACAAGGAGAAGCUGGCCAAGCACGAGUCCCAGCAAGGCACAGUUGCCACCAGCCUCCUACCCUCCCCCCGACCCUCCUGUGCGGCCACUUCUAGCACAGACUUCAGGGCUCACCGUCAGCACCUGCAACACAGUCCUCCUGUGUCACCACUUGUCAGCUGUCAGGCUGUUCGGCACUUUAAACCCAUUUCUAGUAGAGCGACACUGAUUUUGAGUGGUUCACUUUCUUCCCUGUGAACUUGUGAUCUGUGUAUGGCAGGAUGCGCCAGUUAGUGUGUGGGUGCCAUCUUUCUAACCCGGUGACCCAUCCAGUCUCUGGACUGGGGCAUCUCCGGUCUCCAGCAGCAUUCUGCCCGAGGCUGUUCUGCUGUUAU
rnacentral:lncRNA from 1 species